rnacentral:lncRNA from 1 species
GAACAUUUGAGUUUUUUCCAGCUCAAGUACAGUAUUUUUUAACCAGAAUUUUGUUCAUGGCCUUUUCCAGCGUUAAGGCAUUGUCAUCCUGUCAUUGUCAGCUGUAUAAUGCAAUUAUCCAAAAUUUCAAUUUCUUUCUUUUUCAGAAGUCAAAGUUUCUGGUUGUCAAUCCUGCCUGCUCACUAGAAUCACCUAGGGAGUUGUAAAUUCCAACAAUCAGGCCACACCUAAGACCCAUUAAGUGAGGCUCUCUGGAAGUGGGUGGGACCUAGAGUCCGAGGUUUUAGAGCCCCCCUGUGAUUGCACCGUGUGGCCAGUAGGGAGCGCUCUUGCGCGAAGUCUUCUGGAGUCGGCGGAAGGCUUGGAAUGUUGCUCUCAUCUGAAGCUUCCCAUGAUAACUGCGCCGUGCUCUUCUUAAAUUCGUUCCAGUGUCUUCUGGGCUUUGUUGCUUGCCCCUGCAUGGAUCUUUGGAGCAGCCAGCGGGACACCUUUCUCCACCACACGUGUGUCAGUGUCUGUCUGUACCUGACCCAGAGGGCAGCACCUCCAAGCGUGAGUACCCUCCUGGCUGGGGAUCUGGAGCAAUGAGUUUCCAGGGUCAAGUAACAAGGGUAGGAGGAGGACUGGGGAGAUUCCAGCGCUGGACUAGGGCGGGCAGUGGGCAUGUCAGCUCCAGGUGCUGGC